UGGGGAAUCAUGGUCAAUGGGCGAAAGCCUGAACCUGCGACGCCGCGUGAGUGAUGAAGGUCGUAAGAUCGUAAAACUCUUUUCAGGGAUCUUAAAGCACAGCUGUCAACAACAGCUGUGUGUGACUCUCCCUGGAAGAAGCCCCAGCCAACUACGUGCCAGCAGCUGCGGUAAUACGUAGGGGGCGAGAGUUAUUCGGAAUUACUGGGUGUAAAGGGUAUGUAGGCGGCCCCUCAAGUCGCAUGUCAAAGUCCAGUGCUCAACGCUGGGUGUGCACGCGACAAUGACGGGUUUGAGGGCUGGGGAGUUGAGGGGAAUUCCCGUUGUAGUGGUAAAUACGUAGAGAUCGGGGGGAACACCAGCGGCGCAGGCGGCUCACUAGACAGUUUCUGACGCUAAGAUACGAAAGCGUGGGGAGCAAACA
rnacentral:rRNA from 1 species